rnacentral:snoRNA from 1 species
ACCCUCCAGAUUCCUUAUUUAUCAGACAUAAACAUUGGUCUGAGGAGUUAUAAAUGGAGGAAAAGUAAAAUUGAAACUGACUUAAUCUCUUUUAUGACACACAAGCUAGUUUCAAACGAUG